AUUAAUUUUAUUUUAUAGAAUUCUAACUAACUUAAAAGUGAUUUUAUUUUUAUUUCCAGAAAUUAUUCAUUAUCAUUUGAAGUAGUUACAGAAUGGUUUAUUGAAAGAGCACAGCAAAUUGAAGCAAGAUCUGGACUUGUGGAUAAUGCUCUUCAACUUUUGAAACUUGGAAUGCAAAGGAGAAUACAAAUAAACAUUUUAAUACACUCUUAUGUUUUUAUUAUCAAUAAUGUUCAAUUUUUAGGGAAAUUUUUCCCUCGUAACUGCCCUCAAAGGUGUGUACAGAAGGGGUGAGGAGUCUACAGCCAAAUAAUCUACAUAGAAAAAGAAGGCUAGCUUCUAUAGACACAAUAUAAACCAGUCUCUUUAGGGUUGGUACAGUGCAGAGGAGGAAACAUUUUGGGUUACAACAGUAGGAACUCUUCUUAAAGUGGGUUUACACCCGCCUCUACCCUUAACCACUGCUGAUUUUUUGAAGUUUUCUCUUUUUAUUUUUGGGUGUGGAGAAAUUGUAUGAUGAUUUGAGGACUUCAGAAAUUUUGAUUUAUGAUUGUGGAAUAAAAAAAAGACCUAAAUUUAUCUGAUUUCCAAAAACUGAGUGACUCUGAAAAAGUUAAGCUCAUAAUCUCCAUAACAUCAAAAGAAAACUUCAUUGCUCAUUUGUAUUCAUGGUUAGUACUUUACCUCAAUUAGUGUGAAAAAUAUAGUUCAGGAUCUGCAAAACCUCUCCUCAAAAAUUACAUUCUCUAUAUGUCAAGUAAUGAUUUCAGUUACUGCAAGGUGUUUACAGAAAGUUUAAAAUCAGAGAACUGACGAGUUAAAUAAAGCUGCAGCUGUUUAGAAAUUCUUUUAACAUUGCCUGAUUACUUCAACAAAACGUAUCGUAAGUUAUGCAGCUUACCAUCAAGUGUAGCUGAUUUGAGGAAACACAUGUGGUUCUUGAAGAAAUUUGUUGCAAUAAUGCAGAAAUUUUAGAGAAAAAUAAUUGUGCUGUAACAUUGUCCAUGGUCCUUUCCAACAACAUAAUGGAAGUGAAAAAGAUUUUAGUGAAGUUGUCCAAAAUGGCUAGUAACAGAUUUGGAAAAAAAAUAAUUGAAAUACCCUUUCAAUAUUCUUCAAAAAUUCAAGAAAUUCUGUUGAUUCUCAGUAUGUGUGAAUUCCAGGUUCAAAGAAAACAAUAAGAUCAGAAGUAGAAAUAGUCAUGAGAGAAGAAAAAUGUACAGUUAAAGAAAGAAUUAUUGUCGAUGGAGAAUUUUUGCCUCAAGCAUUUACACUCCCCGGAACUCCGCUGUUUCAAAUCAACUGAGAAAUUCUUAGCCGUCCUCUAUAUACAUCUGAUAUAGUACCAUGCAAUAAUCAAUUGUUUGGUCUCCUGAAGAAAUGCUACCAUAUUUUUAUACAGUGAAGAAAAAGCCUUGCUUAGGAAUCAGCAGUGAGAUUUUAGAAAGGGUAUUGGAUAAUUUAAUGCAUUGUACGAAUAUUUGCUUUGACCACUUAGGGUUUCUUUUCUGAAAGACACUGUGUUGCGAUUUGCUGCUGAUAUAAAUAUAAAAACUAACAUCUCCUGUACAUCUCCAUUCAUUUUUAUCAUACCCUGUUUUUUGUUCUUUCAAAAUUUUGCUUUAUUUUUUAUACAUCUUACUCUCCUUUAGAGCCAUAAAAUAAAAUUUUAUGAACUUGA
rnacentral:lncRNA from 1 species